GUGCUUUUUGUAGAACGAACCUGCGAGUUACAGUAUGCAGCAAGGUUAAGUUUAGUUAAACGGAGCCGAAGCGAAAGCGAGUCUUAAUUAGGGCGUUUAGUUGUAUGCUGUAGACCCGAAGCUGAGUGAUCUAUCCAUGGCCAGGGUGAAGCGAAGGUAAAACUUUGUGGAGGCCCGAACCCACUAAGGCUGAAAACUUAGGGGAUGAGCUGUGGAUAGGGGUGAAAGACCAAUCAAACUCAGAGAUAGCUGGUUCUCCUCGAAAUAGCUUUAGGGCUAGCCUUAAGUGUUUGAUUCUGGUGGUAGAGCACUGAAUGGACUAGGGACCUUACAAGGUUACCAAAUCCAAUUAAACUCCGAAUGCCAGGAUUUUAUAGCUUAGGAGUCAGACUGUGAAGGAUAAGCUCCAUAGUCAAAAGGGAAACAGCCCAGACCAUCGGCUAAGGUCCCAAAAUAUAUGCUAAGUGGGAAAGGAUGUAAAGUUACCCAGACAACCAGGAUGUUUGCUUAGAAGCAGCAAUCAUUUAAAGAGUGCGUAACAGCUCACUGGUCAAGUGAUUAUGCGCCGAAAAUUCAACGGGGCUCAAGCAUAUUACCGAAGCCAUGGAUUCUGAUUUAUCAGAAUGGUAGAGGAGCGUUCUGUAAAGGUUGAAGCUUAAUCGUAAGGUUAGGUGGACUUUACAGAAGUGAGAAUGCAGGUAUAAGUAACGAAAGACAGGCGAGAAACCUGUCCGCCGAAUACCAAAGGUUUCCUGGGGAAGGUUAAUCCUCCCAGGGUUAGUCGAGACCUAAGCCGAGGCCGAAAGGC
rnacentral:rRNA from 1 species